CAACGCGGGUCAAACCCUUUAAAGGGUUAUCGCAGCGUACAUUUUAGUUGUUCGCAGCAAAUGUGUUUGUUGCAGCGUACAAAAUAAAAGCCCGCAGCAACAACCCUUUUUGUUGCAGCGUACAAUUUAAAAGCCCCCUGCAAUAACCGGAUAAAAAAAUUUCAAAACAAUUUAAGCCGCAUCUCAAAAAAUUUUCUCGCUGUCCUUUCUUCUUCGCGUGCCUUUCCCUACGUCGUCUCCUAAAGACAAACCCUAAGCCGGUCCUUUCUUCUUCGCGUGCCUUUCCCUGCGUCAUCUCAAAUUUCGAACACUCUUUCUCUUCGUUCCUCUGCAUCGCCGGCCACCACCUCCUUCAUGCCGACGCUGCUGGGUGGUUGCGAUGGUUAUUGCGUUGUUGUGGUUGAUGGUGUUGUCCUGCCUCCGUGCUCGGCUUUCCUCUGCUUGUCGCCGCCAAUAAUGGUGGCCUACCAACACAACAUCAUUUGUAACUAAUUGGUGACUACUAGCUAGCGCCGUCCAAUUAGGGUGGGGGAUUAGAUCUUGCAAGAAAGGCUUCGUCGGAGAUUCCAAUUUUAUGCCCGCCAGGGAACUCGGGGUCGCCUCUCUCUUCGUUUGAGCCGCCGCUACCGCCUUCUUUGCCGCCCUUAACGCCUCCGGCAUCCACAGUGUCUACACUCCGAGGAUUGCGCCUUAUGCGAGGAAUUUGAUGUGGUUCGUGAGCAAUGGGCUAAGUUUUUUACCAACAAGUAUUUAUUAUUGGCUUUAGCGCGCUUGAUCGAGUUGGUUUAGUUGUUAUAGAAUAAAUUUUAUAUUAAAAUGUAUGUUUAUGUUGAAAUUGGAACAUAUAUUUAAAUGUAAUAUGUGCACUUUGGUUUUGGGAUAUAUAGUAUACAAAACUCCAGUUGUUGUUUUUA